rnacentral:tRNA from 2 species
GAGAGGCCUGGCGAGCGGUGGCGCGGUUCCCCCUGGUGUGGGGAGGUCGGCGAAGAGAUUUUUACGGCUCAUGUUCUACCCCAUGUCUUUUUG